UCAUAGGUUAUUUUUUGUUUGUAUAUAAAUUGGUAUGCAUGGAUAGAGUGUUUGUAUGUAAAUAGCAUGAGUGAGUGUAUAAAUAGUAAGUGCAAAAGAUAUGUGUACUAAGUUUGCAUGCAAAGUGUCAGGUUUUGAGUAUUUUGUAUCAAAUUGGGAAUGUGUGAGUUAAUGUAUGUAUAAAAAUGUGCAUGUAUGAGUUUAAAAGUAAGUUCGAAUUUUGGUUAUGACAAUGUUAAAAUAUCAGAAAGAGAGAAAGAGAGAUUUAUGAGGUGAUUCAGUUACCUGAGGCUAAAGCAAGUCGGGUAACUCUAGUUAGGUGACUGAGGAGCACAUGGGUGACUGAGAGGCACAUGGGUGAGAGAUAGCUGGGCAGUGAGAGUGUCUCACACAUUGGAUUUGAUGAAGUAGAAGGUCAAACAAAAUGUCAAUCUUCAAAAUUGAACGUCUUCACACAUAUUAGCAUGAGGAAUAAAAUUUGAGGAAUU